UACGGAGGGUGAAAGCGUUAUCCGGAUUCACUGGGUUUAAAGGGUGCGUAGGCGGGUUGGUAAGUCCGUGGUGAAAUCCCCAAGCUUAACUUGGGAACUGCCGUGGAUACUAUCAAUCUUGAAUAUCGUGGAGGUAAGCGGAAUAUGUCAUGUAGCGGUGAAAUGCUUAGAUAUGACAUAGAACACCAAUUGCGUAGGCAGCUUACUACACGAUCAUUGACGCUGAGGCACGAAAGCGUGGGGAGCAAACAGG
rnacentral:rRNA from 1 species